AGUGUAGGCGGCCAGGUAGGUGGGUUGUGAAAACUGGAGGCUCAACCUUCAGACGUCGACCCAAACCCCCUGGCUAGAGUCCGGAAGAGGAGAGUGGAAUUCCUGGUGUAGCGGUGAAAUGCGCAGAUAUCAGGAAGAACACCCGUGGCGAAGGCGGCUCUCUGGGACGGUACUGACGCUGAGACGCGAAAGCGUGGGGAGCGAACA
rnacentral:rRNA from 1 species